rnacentral:lncRNA from 1 species
UUUUUUGAAAGAAGUAUCAACGGAGUUCUACUAUCCGUGUCCAUUUUAUUCUUGCCCAAAUCGUCAAUGAUCGCCUUCUAGAAGGUGCAAAAGUGCGCACACGUGAUCUUACGAAUGUUUUCACACGCCACUGAUCGCCUCAGCACAUCGAGUGCAGGGAGCGUUUUUGGCCAUCGUGGCUGCUGCAGCGGUCCUCGUCUACUUCCUUGCUGGUCAAAGCAUCAGGCUGUGAUGUGGUCCGGUCUGCUCGAUGGGGAGACCAAUGAGAGAUUACACAGCCGCGUGACGUGGCCGGUUGCUUGGCAACUACGGAUCCCGCCCAGAUCUCGCUAUGCCGGCUUGUCUGUGCCGGUCGCUCCGCUGGCUCGGCCGCUGCCGCUGUUGCUCAUGCGAUCGUAUGAUCAACAGCGGCACGGCAACGGGUUCGGAACAGCCGAUGUUUUUCGUAUUGAAAGUAAUGUAUUUCGACCAAGCAAUGUUACGAAUUCAUUUCACACCGAAAUUCAUAUCAGCUGUGAUCGUAUUACCGGGGAUUUACAGGGGGGAUAUUCUGUAAGAGUCCACCUAGUGGAUUGUCCACUUCGGCUGUCGCCAUUAGGCUGCUGCUUCACGAGCGCAAAGGUGCCACCCAGUCUCCUUCGCAUUCGUGAAGCGGCAGCCAAUGGCGACAGCCGAAGUGGACAGUCCACUAGGUGGACUCUUACAGAAUAGCCCCCCCUGUAGUCCUGAUGAUUGAUUGUAAUUCUGAGUGUAAGUAAACCCAGAGCAACACCUAGGCCUCGUAGUGGAGGGCUGGUUAAUUUCAAUCAUCCUGGGUUAACACAUAUUUAAACCAAAGUAGGAAAGUGUUUUUACAUUUUUCCAAAUUGAAUUGCAUGCAGCGGAUGAAAGUAAUCAGAACAUACUACAGAUGGCAAGGAUACUGCUUACUUUACCACACUGCUGGCAGACAAUGGUGCUGAGCAGGAUUCCACCAAAUAUGUCAUCCAGUGGUGUACGAGCCACGGCUUUCUUGUAGGCUGCAAGAAAGGAAGGCACACAAGCACUGUUGUUUCACAACUCAGGCACUCUCAUUUUGACCCUUGUUCAGUUGCUUCUGCAGGAUGGCUAAAGUAGCUGCUAUGAUUUACAAUGCACUGUGAAGGGUCCACAAGACUGAGGGGAGGGGAUGAGACAUCAAGCUACUGUCAAAGAGCAUAGCCAUUUAACCAGACACACAUUCAAAGGACAUUUAGUUAAUACUCCAACCUUGGCGAGGUGUUACUGAGGAUCUUAAUCCAACUGCAAUGUUUCUCAGUUGUCUCGGAUUACCUCUCAAUCUUGAAUCAACCCAAUCAUAUGCCUACUAAUUUCAUCCUAAAGGCAUCACUCCACAGAAUCCUCCGCUGCACUCAAUUGAGGGUGGCAAAGAAAUUACAGUAGUGUUAGCCCUGAAGACAUAUGACAUGAGACAUUAAUGGGAAAUCUACAUAGGCUUCCAUACAGCACCAGGAUCACACAAGAGUAACACACAUCUGAGCAGACCAGCCCUCUACACAUAAGAGCUUAGUUGAAUGGGUAAAAUGUGCCUAUC